CCUACGGGAGGCAGCAGUGGGGAAUAUUGCACAAUGGGGGAAACCCUGAUGCAGCAACGCCGCGUGAGUGAAGAAGUCAUUCGUGAUGUAAAGCUCUAUCAGCAGGGAAGAAAAUGACGGUACCUGAGUAAGAAGCCCCGGCUAACUACGUGCCAGCAGCCGCGGUAAUACGUAGGGGGCAAGCGUUAUCCGGAUUUACUGGGUGUAAAGGGGGCGCAGACGGCAGCGCAAGCCAGGAGUGAAAGCCCGGGGCCCAACCCCGGGACUGCUCUUGGAACUGCGCGGCUGGAGUGCAGGAGGGGCAG
rnacentral:rRNA from 1 species